AUCCUUCGGUUCAUAAGCAUGAUGACUGGGUGUUCACGUCUUACACUGCAUGAGAUGUGCCUCCCUCAAACCUUGUUACGACGUGGGCACAUUACCCAUCUGACG